rnacentral:rRNA from 1 species
AUUGAACGCUGGCGGCAGGCCUAACACAUGCAAGUCGAACGGAGUGGCGGACGGGUGAGUAAUGUCUGGGAAUCUGCCUGAUAGUGGGGGAUAACGUCCGGAAACGGUCGCUAAUACCGCAUACUAUCAGAUGUGCCCAGGUGGGAUUAGCUAGUGGGUGGGGUAAUGGCUUACCAAGGCGACGAUCCGUAACUGGUCUGAGAGGAUGACCAGUCACACUGGAACUGAGACACGGUCCAGACUCCUACGGGAGGCAGCAGUGGGGAAUAUUGGACAAUGGGCGAAAGCCUGAUGCAGCCAUGCCGCGUGUGUGAAGAAGGCCUUUGGAUUGUAAAGCACUUUAAGUUGGGAGGCGUUACCAACAGAAGAAGCACCGGCUAACUUCGUGCCAGCAGCCGCGGUAAUUC